rnacentral:rRNA from 1 species
CACGCCGUAAACGAUGAUGACUAACUAUAGCCGUGAGGCUGUGGUGAAGCAAACGCAUUAAGUCAUCCGCCUGGGAAGUACGGUCGCAAGACUGAAACUUAAAGGAAUUGACGGGGGCCCGCACAAGCGGCGGAGCAUGCGGAUUAAUUCGAUGCAACGCGAAGAACCUUACCAAGGCUUGACAUAUAGAGGAAACGGCCAGAGAUGGUCGCCCCGCAAGGUCUCUAUACAGGUGG